AUACGUAGGGGGCAAGCGUUAUCCGGAAUUACUGGGUGUAAAGGGUGCGUAGGUGGUAUGGCAAGUCAGAAGUGAAAACCCAGGGCUUAACUCUGGGACUGCUUUUGAAACUGUCAGACUGGAGUGCAGGAGAGGUAAGCGGAAUUCCUAGUGUAGCGGUGAAAUGCGUAGAUAUUAGGAGGAACAUCAGUGGCGAAGGCGGCUUACUGGACUGAAACUGACACUGAGGCACGAAAGCGUGGGAAGC
rnacentral:rRNA from 1 species